AGUGGCGGACGGGUGAGUAACGCGUGGGUAACCUGCCUCAUACAGGGGGAUAACAGUUAGAAAUGACUGCUAAUACCGCAUAAGCGCACGGAAUCGCAUGGUUUUGUGUGAAAAACUCCGGUGGUAUGAGAUGGACCCGCGUCUGAUUAGCUUGUUGGCGGGGUAACGGCCCACCAAGGCGACGAUCAGUAGCCGGCCUGAGAGGGUGAACGGCCACAUUGGGACUGAGACACGGCCCAAACUCCUACGGAAGGCAGCAG
rnacentral:rRNA from 1 species